CGUGCAAGACAAUUCAUGACUCUGCUUCCGCUCCCUUCAUUAUUGAACAAAAGAGGGAAAGUAAUGCGUUUGCCGGGAGUCAAACCCGGGUCUAUUGCUUGGAAGGCAAUUAUCCUAACCGUUGGACUACAAACGCUUCUUGUUCAUAGAUUAAUGCAUCACUUUAAAGAUCCCGAGAACGUAGAACUUUCAUAGUGUUCUACUGUUCUGCAGCUCCAUUUUAGGAAGAACCGAAGAAGCCACCAAUGAAAAUUGAAAAAAGGGGGAAAAACAAAAAGAUGGGAAGCCUGUCAGACAGCCAAGAGGCCAUCCCAGCCGCGGCUAGACGGCCGGGAACGAUCCUCAACAGCUCCGCCUGGCGAAGGUACGGUCCUGUUACUCACGCUCUAGCUUCUUGGCCAUAUCUCAUCCACCAGGCUUAGUUUCCUGUCUCCUUUGAACUCAAGGAUACAGAGGUACAAGCCUACAGAACAGAUCCUGUUCAAGUAUGGUCGUGACCAAGUUUCACAAAUUGAACCUUAUAUUUUGGUUUCCAGUUUCAUAGUUGGCCGGUGUGGGAUAAUUUCUCAGUUUUUGUUGUCGAACUGAUGAGUUGAUAAACAGUUAUUGAUUCGAUCAUCAUCAAUUCAUCGCUUCAUAUAUAGUUGUGUAUAAUUAAUUCCGUUAGGGAUUGGGUGUUGCGGUUUAGGAGAAAGUUAAUCUCCUUCGUUUAAUUGGAUUCAUAGAGAGAAAUAUUAGGUAUCUUUGGAAAGAUGAGAGUCUGAAGCUUCGUCACUGGCUGUAUGUUAUCUUAGGUUUUAGUUAGUGAUGAUAGAUGCAACUAACAGUUUCAUAUUUGUCCUAAAUUGAAUGAGGAUCUAAAAGUAUGAAUUAUCCUAAAAUAGUUUAUAUAUUAGUGAGUGAUUGAGAGGGGUGAGUGGCGCAAAUUGAAUGAGGAUCUAAAAGUAUGAAUUAUCCUAAAACAGUUUAUAUAAUUUCGGAUUUCAGAUUACUGCAAAGAGUGCAGUAGUCUUCCUGAGUAUUGGAGAGGCUAUUGCUAAAAGCAAAAGAUCACCUGAAAAGCUAUUUGUCGUUCUACAUAUGUAUCAAUUAAUGACUGAACUUCAUCCACAAAUGGAUAUAAUAUUUGGAAGCAAAUAUUUUAGUGAAAUGAGACAAGCUGCUCUCAUUUUGACUAAACAUUUGGCUCAAACGGCUAAGAAUACCUUAGCAGAUUUUGAGGAAGCAGUUGAGAAAGAUGCCACAAAAACUGUUGUUGAUGAUGGAACUGUCCAUCCAUUAACUAGCUAUGUCAUCAAUUAUGUGAAGUUUUUAUUCGAGUAAGUCUAAUCACCUCUUUUCUUUGUGUAUUUUCUAUUUUUUUUCCAAGGUUUGAACAUUUUGUUAUUGACUUAUGAUGUUGCUAGUUUUGUUCUUUACUCCAUGGGUUAUGUUAUACUAUUCUUGAUUGAUUGAUA